UACGUAGGUGGCGAGCGUUGUCCGGAAUUACUGGGUGUAAAGGGCGUGUAGGCGGGAAUGCAAGUCGGAUGUGAAAUACCGUGGCUUAACCACGGGGCUGCAUCUGAAACUGUGUUUCUUGAGUGUCGGAGAGGAAAGUGGAAUUCCCAGUGUAGCGGUGAAAUGCGUAGAUAUUGGGAGGAACACCAGUGGCGAAGGCGACUUUCUGGACGAUAACUGACGCUGAGGCGCGAAAGCGUGGGGAGCAAACAGG
rnacentral:rRNA from 1 species